AAACAUAUAUAGCUACUCUAGUUCACUAACCAACUCACUAAACAAAAUCUGUUAUUCAACUAACCAAUAACUAUGUGACAGCUGUACAAUUAGUUACACUAAUAGUUACAUUUUUCUCAUUCAGUUGACUAGCCUUUACACUUGGUUGACUAAUUCCUACAUGUGUUCUUGUUGCUGAUUGUAAUUCAAUAUGCUGCUUCACUUCAUACUCCCCC
rnacentral:lncRNA from 1 species